UCCCAGGUGGCUCAGUGGUAAAGAAUCCACUUGCCGAGAAGGAAACCCAGGUUUGAGUCAUGGCCUGGGAA
rnacentral:tRNA from 1 species